UACGAAGGUGGCAAGCGUUGUUCGGAUUUACUGGGCGUAAAGGGAGCGUAGGUGGUUAGGUAAGCCCUCCGGGAAAUCUUCAGGCUUAACCUGAAAAGGUCGGGGGGGACUGCCUAGCUAGAGGGCGGGAGAGGAGCGCGGAAUUCCCGGUGUAGCGGUGAAAUGCGUAGAGAUCGGGGAGGAAGGCCGGUGGCGAAGGCGGCGCUCUGGAACGUUUCUGACACUGAGGCUCGAAAGCGUGGGGAGCAAACAGG
rnacentral:rRNA from 1 species